UUUAUCAAAAACAUGGCUCCUUGUAAUUCAUAAAUAGGGAGUCGGACCUGCCCAGUGAAAUAAAUUUAACGGCCGCGGUACCCUGACCGUGCGAAGGUAGCAUAAUCAUUUGCCUUAUAAUUGAAGGCUAGUAUGAAUGGUUUGACUAGAGCAAGACUGUCUCUUUAUAAUUCAAUAGAAUUUUAUUUUUUGGUGAAGAAGCCUAAAUUUAAUUAAUAGACAAGAAGACCCUAUCGAGCUUAAAAAAAAUUAAUAGAAUGCAAGGAAUUUAUAUUAAUAGAAAAUUAAUUAUUAAAAAUUUUGGUUGGGGCGACUCAGGAACAAUUAAAGCUUCCUUAGAUUUUAAGAUCUACAUAUGUUGAUCCAAAUUUUUUGAUUGAAGGAAUUAGUUACCGUAGGGAUAACAGCAUUAUUCUCUUUGAGAGUUCAUAUCGAAAAGGGAGUUUGUGACCUCGAUGUUGGACCAGAAUAUCCUAAAGAUGCAGAAGUCUUUAAAGGUUGGUCUGUUCGACCAUUAAAAUUCUACGUGAUCUGAGUUCAGACCGGCGCGAGCCAGGUCAGUUUCUAUCUUUAAUUUCUUACGUAAGCUUAGUACGAAAGGACCAGCUUAUCGUAUUAAAUACUAAAAAAGAAAAAAUAUAAUCAAGGAUUGUCAAAUUAGCAAACUUAAUGCAAUUGAUUUAGGAUCAGUAGAUAUAGGUGAAAAUCCUUUAUUUGACAAUAUAAAGAUGGCAGAUUUAGUGCAUUAGGUUU
rnacentral:rRNA from 1 species